AGUUAGUAUAAAAAGAAAAGAGAAGUGGUCCAAGAACUCAGUCCUUACAUUGGAGGUCAAGGAGACAAGGUGGGGACUAGGAGAUACGAAGGCCUGUGCAGUCAGUGUUUCAGAGAAACGAAGAAACUGUUUCCAGAAGAAAGGAGAGGUCAACUGCUAACAGGAAAAAUAAUAGUAUAUUCGUAUGCUGAGGAGAAGAAUCCAGUUGAAGGGGAAUACUGUGGCUUCAGGCGACAAGAGAGGAAAACUGCCUGAGCCACAUCCUUCAGCAAGGGGCGGAGCAAGAUGGCCGAAUAGGAACAGCUCCAGUCUCCAACUCCCAGCGCGA